CCUACGGGCGGCAGCAGUGAGGAAUAUUGGUCAAUGGGCGCGAGCCUGAACCAGCCAAGUCGCGUGAAGGAUGACUGCACUACGGGUUGUAAACUUCUUUUAUAAAGGAAUAAAGUGCGGCACGUGUGCCUUUUUGUAUGUACUUUAUGAAUAAGGAUCGGCUAACUCCGUGCCAGCAGCCGCGGUAAUACGGAGGAUCCGAGCGUUAUCCGGAUUUAUUGGGUUUAAAGGGUGCGUAGAUGGGUUGUUAAGUCAGUUGUGAAAGUUUGCGGCUUAACCGUAAAAGUGCAAUUGAUACUGGCAGUCUUGAGUACAGGAGAGGUAGGCGGAAUUCGUGGUGUAGCGGUGAAAUGCUUAGAUAUCACGAAGAACUCCGAUUGCGAAGGCAGCUUACU
rnacentral:rRNA from 1 species